AUAUCGCGAGGUGUCAGCAGCCGCGGUAAUACAGAGGAUGCAAGCGUUAUCCGGAAUGAUUGGGCGUAAAGCGUCUGUAGGUGGCUUUUUAAGUCCGCCGUCAAAUCUCAGGGCUUAACCCUGAAACUGCAUUUGAAACUGGAGGGCUUGAGGAUCGGAGAGGGCAGUGGAAUUCCCAGUGUAGCGGUGAAAUGCGUAGAUAUUGGGAGGAACACCAGUGGCGAAGGCGACUGCCUGGACGACACCUGACGCUGAGGCGCGAAAGCUAGGGGAGCGAACGGGAUUAGAUACCCCGGUAGUCCUAGCCGUAAACGAUGGGUACUAGGUGUGGGAGGUAUCGACCCCUUCGUGCCGCAGUUAACACAAUAAGUACCCCGCCUGGGGAGUACGGCCGCAAGGUUGAAACUCAAAUGAAUUGGCGGG
rnacentral:rRNA from 1 species